rnacentral:rRNA from 1 species
UGGGGAAUAUUGGGCAAUGGGCGGCAAGCCUGACCCAGCAACGCCGCGUGAAGGAAGAAGGCUUUCGGGUUGUAAACUUCUUUUCUCAGGGACGAAGCAAGUGACGGUACCUGAGGAAUAAGCCACGGCUAACUACGUGCC